rnacentral:rRNA from 1 species
AACGCUAGCUACAGGCUUAACACAUGCCAGUCGAGGGGCAGCAUGGUUGUAGCAAUACAACCGAUGGCGACCGGCGCACGGGUGAGUAACACGUAUCCAACCUGGCCUUUACUCGGGGAUAGCCUUUCGAAAGAAAGAUUAAUACCCGAUGGCAUUUGGAAUCCGCAUGGAUUCCUUCUUAAAGAUUUAUCGGUAAAGGAUGGGGAUGCGUUCCAUUAGGCAGUUGGCGGGGUAACGGCCCACCAAACCGACGAUGGAUAGGGGUUCUGAGAGGAAGGUCCCCCACAUUGGAACUGAGACACGGUCCAAACUCCUACGGGAGGCAGCAGUGAGGAAUAUUGGUCAAUGGACGCAAGUCUGAACCAGCCAAGUAGCGUGAAGGAUGACCGCCCUAUGGGUUGUAAACUUCUUUAUAAGGGAAUAAAUUGAGGUACGUGUACCUUUUUGUAUGUACCUUAUGAAUAAGCAUCGGCUAACUCCGUGCCGGCAGCCGCGGUAAUACGGAGGAUGCGAGCGUUAUCCGGAUUUAUUGGGUUUAAAGGGAGCGUAGGCGGGUUUUUAAGUCAGUUGUGAAAGUUUGCGGCUCAACCGUAAAAUUGCAGUUGAUACUGGAAGCCUUGAGUGCGGCAGAGGCAGGCGGAAUUCGUGGUGUAGCGGUGAAAUGCUUAGAUAUCACGAAGAACUCCGAUUG